rnacentral:rRNA from 1 species
UGGCUACUGUGCCAGCUGGUGGAUAGCUCGGCUCGAGAGCCGAUGACGGACGUGCCAAGCUGCGAUAAGCCUCAGGGACCCGCAUGGAGGGAAAGAACUGAGGAUCUCCGAAUGGGAAUCCCCACAGCAAUUGCCUAGCGCAAUGGGGAACGCUCCGAAUUGAAACAUCUUAGUAGGAGCAGGAAAAGAAAGCAAUCC